rnacentral:tRNA from 2 species
GGGCCUUUAGCUCAGUUGGUAGAGCGCCACGUUUACACCGUGGAUGUCGUCGGUUCGAGCCCGGUAGGGCCCACCC